ensembl:lncRNA
GUGAUCCUAAAAUGUCGGUGUCGUGGUUUGUUCCUUCUGGUGGCAAAAAGGGAGAAAUAUAUGAUCCAUUAGUCAAACUAGAAACUUAACCUGAAGCCACUAUCUAUGUAAGGGUUUUCGGUGGUGCUCCAAGCACUGAGACUGGCCAGGAAAACACAAAGACUCUUCGUGAGGCCUUGGCUAAGACUGGGAAAACCUUUGAUCCCAGCACUCAUGCUGCAGCUACCUAUGAAUCCUAUUUUUCUUUUACUCACCACAAUGAAAUCUGGAUCAGUGCUGCCUCACAACAACAGAACUAAGUAAAUGCUCUUGUCAGGUUGCAGACCUUUUGCACUGCAAACUGAUUUCUGGAAUGUUGUGGUUUAGUUUAGUUCCUGGAACUGAAAACAUAGUAACAGUUUGUUCUACUUUUUCUUUAUUCUCUUUCAUCUGUGAAUAGAAAGUAAUGAUUUCAGAUCACCCCUUAAUCCCAGGAGGACUUGGCUCACAAAACAUUGUUUGCUGGUUGAUUGUUUAGAACACCUUGAUAACUUUUAGACUCUAACAUGACAUUUUAUGUCUAUUUCUGGAGUUAUCAUUUAUAUUGAAGAGUUUAUUUUUAACCAUCUUAUUCUUAAAAUUUGAAAAGUGCAUUGUCCCUAAGAGAUAUAAAAUUGUUUUGUCGUUUUUCUAAAUUCCUGUUAUUUCUUACUGGGUAAUUUAUAUUCUGC